UACGGAGGGUGCAAGCGUUAUCCGGAUUUACUGGGUUUAAAGGGUGUGUAGGCGGAUUAUUAAGUCAGCGGUGAAAUCUCCGGGCUCAACCCGGAAACUGCCAUUGAUACUAUUAGUCUUGAAUAUUGUUGAGGUGGGCGGAACGGGUCAUGUAGCGGUGAAAUGCAUAGAUAUGACCCGGAACACCGAUUGCGAAGGCAGCCCACUAAGCAAUGAUUGACGCUGAGGCACGAAGGCGUGGGGAUCAAACAGG
rnacentral:rRNA from 1 species